AACAGUGUGCUUGAUAAAAAGGUCGCCUUGAUAGGGCGGAUAAUGAAAGAGAUUCUUUCCACUGUUA
rnacentral:tRNA from 1 species